rnacentral:tRNA from 1 species
AAUAAGGUUGCUCAGUGGAUAGAGCACCAGGCUUGGAGUCAGUUGGAUAUGGUUCAAGUCUGUCUUCAUUG